rnacentral:rRNA from 1 species
AGCGAACGCUGGCGGCAGGCCUAACACAUGCAAGUCGAACGAACCCUUCGGGGUUAGUGGCGGACGGGUGAGUAACACGUGGGAACGUGCCUUUAGGUUCGGAAUAACUCAGGGAAACUUGUGCUAAUACCGAAUGUGCCCUUCGGGGGAAAGAUUUAUCGCCUUUAGAGCGGCCCGCGUCUGAUUAGCUAGUUGGUGAGGUAAAGGCUCACCAAGGCUACGAUCAGUAGCUGGUCUGAGAGGAUGACCAGCCACAUUGGGACUGAGACACGGCUCAAACUCCUACGGGAGGCAGCAGUGGGGAAUCUUGCGCAAUGGGCGAAAGCCUGACGCAGCCAUGCCGCGUGGAUGAUGAAGGUCUUAGGAUUGUAAAAUCCUUUCACCGGCGAAGAUAAUGACUGUAGCCGGAGAAGAAGCCCCGGCUAACUUCGUGCCAGCAGCCGCCGUAAAAC